GGUGAAGCAAACAACCUUACAUGAUGUGAGUGGUCCUUGUGCCCAGUUGAAGCCAUGCACUGUGCACUGGAGAGGCAGAGCAUCCUGCCUUCCACAGCCGUGCACACCAGUCCCUGUGCACAAGUGGCCACCCACCCAGCGAAUCGACGUGGUGUGCUUAUCAAAAUCUGUGUGUCUGUGGGCCAGAGCCAAAUCCAGGCUGUCUGGGACUCUCAGUGAAAAGACCGGCCAUGUGUGCCUCCAGAUGGUACUAGAUCCAGGUGCUAGAACAAGAUGAGCAAGUGAAUCUCUCAUACUUCAGAUCCUUCAAGGAUCUUGAAAAGAGCGCUGGAAUCAAAGGCGAACGCCACCACUGCCCGGCCUUGUUUUGUUUUUAAAGACAGUUUUCGGCACACAGAGAGGCUGUGAGUUAGGACGGGGGUUUCUUGCCGUUGCCACCAUUCUCAUUGACACGUUAUGCUGCACACAGCAGAGCCCCAUCCUGAAUGCCCAGCGGUGCCCACAGCCAGGAGGAGCAUUCGAUGUGUGAUGACUCAUCUCGUGCAUCAGACGCUCUCUAAAGUUCCCACAGAUUAUACCAUGGCUUAGUGAGUGCGAUUCUAAGACAGUUCCAAAAGACUUUUCAAUCCGUGGGAGUUUCAAAGUGGAUUCUCAGACAAACAUGGGGAGGACUGAGGCAGGCUUGGACACGCACAGAAUCAGACAACGAUGGUCCGGAGUUCAAAUCCCUGCAACCACAUGGUGGCUCACAACCAACUGUAAUGAGAUCUGGCGCCCUCUUCUGGAGUGUCUGAAGACAGAUACAGUGUACUUACAUAUAGUAAAUAAAUAAAUCUUAAAAAAAAAAAAAA
rnacentral:lncRNA from 1 species